GACGGAGGGGGCAAGCGUUGUUCGGAUUCAUUGGGCGUAAAGGGUGCGUAGGCGGCGCGGUAAGUCGGGUGUGAAAUCUCGGAGCUUAACUCCGAAACUGCAUUCGAUACUGCCGUGCUUGAGGACUGGAGAGGAGACUGGAAUUUACGGUGUAGCGGUGAAAUGCGUAGAUAUCGUAAGGAAGACCAGUGGCGAAGGCGGGUCUCUGGACAGUUCCUGACACUGAGACACGAAGGCCAGGGGAGCAAACGGG
rnacentral:rRNA from 1 species